rnacentral:pre_miRNA from 1 species
UAGGUCUCUUUGGCACCAAAUCCGUUGCAGGACAUUUGGAGUCGACCGCCGAAAUGUCCUGCAACGGAUUUGGUGCCAAAGAGACCUACGUUAC